rnacentral:rRNA from 1 species
GCGUGAGUGAUGAAGGCCUUCGGGUUGUAAAGCUCUUUUGCCAGGGACGAUGAUGACGGUACCUGGAGAAUAAGCCCCGGCUAACUUCGUGCCAGCAGCCGCGGUAAUACGAAGGGGGCAAGCGUUGUUCGGAAUUACUGGGCGUAAAGGGCGCGUAGGCGGCUCUAUCAGUCAGGCGUGAAAUUCCCGGGCUCAACCUGGGGACUGCGCUUGAUACUGUAGGGCUUGAAUUCGGGAGAGGAUGGCGGAAUUCCCAGUGUAGAGGUGAAAUUCGU